rnacentral:rRNA from 1 species
CGGGGUGCACCAGGCGCGAAAACUUUACAAUGCUGGCAACAGCGAUAAGGGGACCUUGAGUGCCAGGAUACAAUCCUGGCUGUCGUGAUGCCUAAAAAGCAUUAUAUAGCAAGGGCCGGGCAAGACCGGUGCCAGCCGCCGCGGUAACACCGGCGGCUCGAGUGGUAACCGCUAUUAUUGGGUCUAAAGGGUCUGUAGCCGGCUUGGUUAGUCUCUUGGGAAAUCCGGCAGCUUAACUGUCGGGCUUUCAGGAGAUACUGCCAGGCUCGAGACCGGGAGAGGUGAGAGGUACUUCAUGGGUAGGGGUGAAAUCUUGUAAUCCUUGAAGGACCACCAGUGGCGAAGGCGUCUCACCAGAACGGAUCUGACGGCAAGGGACGAAAGCUAGGGGCACGAACCGGAUUAGAUACCCGGGUAGUCCUAGCCGUAAACGAUACUCGCUAGGUGUCGGCCACGGUGCGACCGUGGUCGGUGCCGUAGGGAAGCCGUGAAGCGAGCCACCUGGGAAGUACGGCCGCAAGGCUGAAACUUAAAGGAAUUGGCGGGGGAGCACAAGGGCGAUUGC